UGAGGAAUAUUGGUCAAUGGGCGGAAGCCUGAACCAGCCAUGCCGCGUGAAGGAAUAAGGCCCUAUGGGUCGUAAACUUCUUUUGUACGGGAGCAAUAAGUCUCACGUGUGGGACGAUGAGAGUACCGUACGAAUAAGCAUCGGCUAACUCCGUGCCAGCAGCCGCGGUAAUACGGAGGAUGCGAGCGUUAUCCGGAUUUAUUGGGUUUAAAGGGUGCGUAGGCGGCUUGGUAAGUCAGCGGUGAAAAUGUCGGGGCUCAACCUCGGAACUGCCGUUGAUACUGUCAGGCUUGAAUGCGGAUGCCGUGGGAGGAAUGUGUGGUGUAGCGGUGAAAUGCUUAGAUAUCACGAAGAACUCCGAUUGCGAAGGCAGCUUACCGUAGCGUUACUGACGCUGAAGCUCGAAAGUGCGGGUAUCG
rnacentral:rRNA from 1 species